rnacentral:rRNA from 1 species
GACGAACGCUGGCGGCGUGCUUAACACAUGCAAGUCGAACGGAAAGGCCCUGCUUUUGUGGGGUGCUCGAGUGGCGAACGGGUGAGUAACACGUGAGUAACCUGCCCUUGACUUUGGGAUAACUUCAGGAAACUGGGGCUAAUACCGGAUAGGAGCUCCUGCUGCAUGGUGGGGGUUGGAAAGUUUCGGCGGUUGGGGAUGGACUCGCGGCUUAUCAGCUUGUUGGUGGGGUAGUGGCUUACCAAGGCUUUGACGGGUAGCCGGCCUGAGAGGGUGACCGGCCACAGUGGGACUGAGAUACGGCCCAGACUCCGACGGGAGGCAGCAGUGGGGAAUAUUGCACAAUGGGCGGAAGCCUGAUGCAGCAACGCCGCGUGCGGGAUGACGGCCUUCGGGUUGUAAACCGCUUUCGCCUGUGACGAAGCGUGAGUGACGGUAAUGGGUAAAGAAGCACCGGCUAACUACGUG